UACGUAGGGCGCAAGCGUUGUCCGGAAUUAUUGGGCGUAAAGAGCUCGUAGGCGGCUUGUCACGUCGGGUGUGAAAGCCCGGGGCUUAACCCCGGGUCUGCAUUCGAUACGGGCUAGCUAGAGUGUGUAGGGGAGAUCGGAAUUCCUGGUGUAGCGGUGAAAUGCGCAGAUAUCAGGAGGAACACCGGUGGCGAAGGCGGAUCUCUGGGCCAUUACUGACGCUGAGGAGCGAAAGCGUGGGGAGCGAACAGG
rnacentral:rRNA from 1 species